AACAGAUUUACUUCGGUAAUGACGUUAGGAAGCGGGCGGCGGAUGGGUGAGUAACACGUGGGGAAUCUGCCCCAUAGUCUGGGAUACCACUUGGAAGCAGGUGCUAAUACCGGAUAAGAAAGCAGAUCGCAUGAUCAGCUUUUAAAAGGCGGCGUAAGCUGUCGCUAUGGGAUGGCCCCGCGGUGCAUUAGCUAGUUGGUAAGGUAAAGGCUUACCAAGGCGAUGAUGCAUAGCCGAGUUGAGAGACUGAUCGGCCACAUUGGGACUGAGACACGGCCCAAACUCCUACGGGAGGCAGCAGUAGGGAAUCUUCCACAAUGGACGCAAGUCUGAUGGAGCAACGCCGCGUGAGUGAAGAAGGUUUUCGGAUCGUAAAGCUCUGUUGUUGGUGAA
rnacentral:rRNA from 1 species